CCUGAGAAACCCAAAAGAUCGAAUGGGGAGAUUCAUCGUCAGCGGCGUUGGCUUCCGUGUGGCUCGCGAUGGCCGGGACCUCGGUCCCGUGUCACGCGGUCGCUGCGGUAUGUCCGGCGUCGUCUGCGUGCACUUCUCCCCUAGUAGGACGUCGCGACCCGUUGGGUGUCGGACCGAUGGUCGUUUGGUCGACUGUUUCGUCUUGCUUACGCUUGCACGGGGCAGACCAAUGCGGCCGAUAGUCCGGCUGCCCGGCGGUAUAUUAACGCUUUCGAACGGUAUCGAGCCGCAUUACGUGCGUUCAGGCUCGUCGGCAGGCUCGUCUCGCUCGGAUUUACGGACCUGGUGCCGUUGCCGGGUGCUUGGCGGGCCGUCAGUCCACGGUGUCCUCGGACUGGCUCUUGAUUUACGAUUACCGGUCGGCGACGCUACUGCUUUGGGUACUUUC
rnacentral:rRNA from 1 species